AGAGGGCACACAGCAAGGGGACCCUAGUGACCUGGCUGUGCCACAAUCCCUUAAACUCCAGAGAAGCAGCCAAGGGGAGAAAGAGGGAGAUGAAGUGACAAACCGAGGUCAGCCCUUCAGAGGUACCAUUCUGGGUGAUCCCACUGUUCCAUGGGAAAUAAAAACAAGGGUUAAAAAAAAAAGGACUUAGC
rnacentral:lncRNA from 1 species